AAAAGCCAAAUUGGUUCUGUCCGAUUUGAACAAUGAAAGUGCGAAGAGUGAUUAAUUAAGCGAUACACGUGAUAAACGGAUAUGCCAUAAACGUCCGUCCUGACCGGUGCAUUAUCGCGUACGAUGGAAAAUAUGUACUCAUCGAGGGCAUUAUACACCGUGACAACGAGUCGAUGCGUAUUAUUAUAUUUUGCAUUGCGGUGCCCGUUGCCAAAUCGAUGCCCGGUUUAUAACAGAAUACUCAACGAGUAAAAUUGAUAGUUUGCCCGAAGGUACGCGAUGUCAAAGAGCGCACUCUCUCGUGUGAUAUCUGUUUUAAUCAUUUUUUUUAACGGAUACAUAUAUAUCUCGCGAGUGUAAAUUAAAUACAGGACGCAAUAUCUUUUUUGUGGGUGGAGGAUCAUGGGGAAUUUCAAGAUUAGUUGGACGUUUUUAAAUGUCAAGUGUAAUAAUCGAGGAUUAUUUACAUUGGAAAAAUGUUACGAACGAUAAAAUUAAUUCCGUAACCGGAAUUAUUCGAAUUAAUAAAGAAGGAAAAUAUUGAAGAAAUAUUUGUAUAAUUGAGAAUUGUGAAAAAACUUGGAAUCAAUUUUCCGUCUUGGAAAUACUGUUAUAUAUAAAUCCAGCAAAAAUCUAAAAAUUUAUACCGAGGUAAUAGCAGGUUGGGGGGAAAGUCGUUCUUCUUCGACUCACGACGCUACAAUUAUGUAAAUGGAAAAGCGUUACUGUUGUUUUUAACUGGAUUUAUUUCGGCGGUGUUGGGCACAGAACUUGGAAAUGAAAAAUGACACGGAAUUAAUGCCUACGGGAGGCAGCUGAGGAUGAAAAUAUAAUAAUAUCUCUGGUCGAAUCAAUGGUGAAAAUUUUAACGAAAAAUUGUAACGGAAGAAUACGAUGUAAAAAAUAUCAUUGUGUGGUGCAUUGUUGAUGUAAUAGCACGUUGCAAUGUAGUAAACAAUGCAAUGGAAUGCGAUGUGUUACAAGGCAACACCGGUCAGAGAUAAUGUAACGUAACGAGACGUAUAAUAUGGUCCAACACAGUGCAAUGCGACAUAACACAAUGCAAAUACAAUAUAGUGAAAUAUAGUGGAAUGCAACGUUAACAGAGUAAGACAGAAAGGCACGAAUCAUUUGGGACAAAAUUCAAUAUAAUACGAUGGAAUGCGAUUGCAACGUGGCAUAAUGUCAAUAUGACGUCAAUUACGAUGCAAUAAAAUACAUUGCAGAUUAUUAGCGUAUCUCGGCAAAUCUUUGAUUAUUCUUAGAUAGAAAUUUAGAAAUGAUUCUCGUGCUAAUAAUACUGUUUGAAUCGGUUUUUACGAUUUGUGAGUCGUGAGGAAUGAGAUUAUUAAGCUUAACAUAUUCAUUUCGCAGGGGAAAAUCGCAAUAUGAUUAAAAAAUUGAUAAAAUAAUUUAUAUGAGAAUUGGAAAUUCCAAUUUUUUUUUAAAUACAAAAGAAACGCCUUUAAAAAAAAUAAAUAAUUCCCAAGGAAUAAAGUAAGAGUAACAUUCUUUUAAAAUCUAGUUCUCGUCGAAUAAUAAAAUAAAUAAUAAAAUUUCAGAGUUCGAUAAAAAAGAAAUAAAAAAAUACAUGAAUAAUUCCAGCAAAGGCAAGCAACACGAUAUACUUCACAGAUUUAUCGAAGAAUCGAAUCGAAUGAUUUCAACGUUGCAACGUUAUAAAAAAUUUCCUCGUAACGAACAUUUUUAUUUUUUUUUUUCAAAUUUUUUCCAUCCCGUAUCGAUAUAGGCAAGUUUUUUAUUUUUUAUUUUUAUUACUUCUUUUUUUCGGUAAAAAUUUGAAGGAAAAAAAAAUGAAA